AUACGGAGGGUGCAAGCGUUACUCGGAAUCACUGGGCGUAAAGCGCGCGCAGGCGGUCUUUUAAGUUGGAUGUGAAAGCCUACGGCUCAACCGUAGAACUGCAUCCAAAACUAUUAGACUAGAGUGUGGGAGAUGAAGAUGGAAUUAGUUGUGUAGGGGUAAAAUCCGUAGAGAUAACUAGGAAUACCAAAAGCGAAGGCAAUCUUCUGGAACACUACUGACGCUGAGGCGCGAAAGCGUGGGGAGCAAACAGGAUUAGAAACCCCGGUAGUCC
rnacentral:rRNA from 1 species